rnacentral:rRNA from 1 species
CCUACGGGAGGCAGCAGUGGGGAAUCUUGCGCAAUGGGCGAAAGCCUGACGCAGCGACGCCGCGUGGGGGAUGAAGGCCCUCGGGUCGUAAACCCCUUUUGGUAGGGACGAAGCGAAAGUGACGGUACCUGCUGAAUAAGCUCCGGCUAACUACGUGCCAGCAGCCGCGGUAAGACGUAGGGAGCGAGCGUUGUCCGGAUUCAUUGGGCGUAAAGGGCGUGUAGGCGGUCGGGUAAGUCAGAUGUGAAAGCCCUGGGCUCAACCCAGGAAGUGCAUUUGAAACUACCUGACUUGAGUACGGGAGAGGACGGGGGAAUUCCCGGUGUAGAGGUGAAAUUCGUAGAUAUCGGGAGGAAUACCGGUGGCGAAGGCGCCCGUCUGGACCGAUACUGACGCUGAGACGCGAAAGCGUGGGGAGCAAACAGGAUUAGAUACCCUGGUAGUCCACGCCGUAAACGAUGAGCACUAGGUGUAGCGGGUAUUGACCCCUGCUGUGCCGUAGCUAACGCGUUAAGUGUGCCGCCUGAGGACUACGGCCGCAAGGCUAAAACUCAAAGGAAUUGACGG